UACGUAGGGCGCAAGCGUUGUCCGGAAUUAUUGGGCGUAAAGAGCUCGUAGGCGGCUUGUCACGUCGGAUGUGAAAGCCCGAGGCUUAACCUCGGGUCUGCAUUCGAUACGGGCUAGCUAGAGUGUGGUAGGGGAGAUCGGAAUUCCUGGUGUAGCGGUGAAAUGCGUAGAUAUCGGGAGGAACACCAGUGGCGAAGGCGACUACCUGGCCCAUUCUUGACGCUGAGGCGCGAAAGCUAGGGAGCGGAACGGG
rnacentral:rRNA from 1 species